GCACCGGUGGCCUAGUGGUUAGAGCGUCCGCGUUUGAUGCGAGAGGUCGCUGGUUCGAACAUCGGCUUAGUCAUACA